ACGCAGUAUCAUUUUUCAUUUUAGAGGUGCAUGCUCACAGAGAGGUUAAAUGACUUGUCCAAGGUUCAGACCUAAAUCAGGGUCCUCAGGUCCUCUUAGUUUCAGAUCCCAGGCCUCUGUGCUGAGGGAUUUUUCUGAAAAAACAGCCUGACCUCUAGAGACUAGUAUUUUUCAAAGCUCUUUUGGAAAUUAAUGAGUGCUCUUUUAAUGCUUUUGAAUGCCAAGGAGAAUAUGCUGUCCACACAUAAUUGCACACAGCAUUUCUUCUGCAUGCAGAGGCUAAAAGCCUUCUGCCAUGUUUGAACCAAUGUAAACAUCACAGAUGCUUCCAUGGGCAGCCUCCUCUGACUUAUGAAUGUCUUCUUUUGGAGGAUUUUCCCACAACCUAAAAAAAAAAAAAAAAAAUCACUUCUAACUUCUGCUCCAGAACUGUGAAGUGACAUUGAAAAAAGAAAUAAUUUGUUAAGAUUUUUUUUUAGUUUAUCAUCAAAUAACCUUCUAGAUCUCCCCAAAUAGCAUGCAUUUAUGCCUCCUCUCUACCGCACAUUGUUCUAAAUGCUUUGUUUUAUGUCCCUUAAUCCUCACAAAUAUAUACUGUAGGAAUUAUAAUUACCCAAUUUUGAAAAUGAGGGACAGAGAGUUUGUGGACUUAAAUCUUGACAAAUAGUAGAACUACGAUGCAAAUAGCCCUGUAGUAUAACCACCUCUUCCUUCACGGCUGCCCCCAGACACAUUCAGUCAGGCUCCUGCCAAUUCUAGCUCUCAAGUUAAAUUUCUACUGAAUACUCACGUUUUAAUUUCACCAAAGAAUCGAGGAGCAUCAUUUUCUACUGCCGCAGAGGCAUUCUAAGGAAGAAUGUACAUUUCAGAGUGCCUACUAUGGCUGCAUAGGAAUUGGACAUAAAUGAGCAGAACAAAGGCUUGAUAACUUGGAUGGUCCUUCACUGAUCAAAACCAGAUGUCAAAUGCUUGGAAAAAAAAGGCAUUAAUCACACAUAAUUGAGGAAUACUGUCUCUAUAGGACAAGAUAAAUGUUUCCCCACUUUAGUAAUUAGCCUUUAUUGAACAUGAGAGCCUGUCAAAUAGAGACAAUAAUAACCUCGUCUUUCCAACACGUUCUAAGGACCCAUUUGUUUUUUACAUAUUUUUGAAUACUUGAAGUUAUAGAAAUAAACACAUCUAUUAUUUUUCUUUGUGUCAUAAUUCUAAGAAGACCUCUGUCCUUCCACCAUACAAGAAAUACAAACAAAUCAUGGCAGCCAGCAUUUCUUUAUAUUUAAAGAUUAGGUUCACAAACACUUGGGUAUGUGAAAGUCUCAAAGCUCAAGGGAAAAAGGAUGGCUGUUGAAGUCAUUCCUUACUGUGGGAUUUUCCUUUAGUCAUUCAUUUUCUCCCUCUACUCUGAGUUAUCUCUAAGAGAAGAAAACUGAUAAAAAAUAGUUUUUGGAAGUUCCCAUCGUGGCGCAGCAGAAACGAAUCCGACUAGGAACCAUGAGGUUGAGGGUUCGAUCCUUAGCCUCACUCAGUGGGUUAAGGAUCCAGUGUUGUCGUGAGCUGUGGUGCAGGUGUUGCUGUGCCUGUGGCAUAGGCCAGCAGCUACAGUUCCAGUUGGACCCCUAGCCUGGGAACCUCCAUAUGCCGCAAGUGUGGCCCUGAAAAAACCAAAAACCAAGAAAAAAAAGUUUUUAGCGACGUAUAUUUAAAUUGACAUUUCCAGUUAAUUGCAUUGCAGAAGAAAAACAGGAAAUCGGUAGUCGUAAAGGCCAAAAUAUUUUCUGACUUUCAUACCUUUCAAGAAAAAGAAAAGAAAGUCUUCGCUACAUGGAAGCUAGAGUCAGAAGCACAAGAUAAAAUCCUGUUAAUAGUAUGACCAUACUGUUUAUAUAUGGAAGGUGUUUAUAAAAUCUUCCUGGAUGAAUGAUAAAAUUAGAACAAUCAAAGGAGAAAUGUUGGAAUUUCAGAGAAAAGCAUGACAGGGGAUUUAGGAGAAAAAAGCCUAACAAAACUGAUUUAUUACAUGCAAUAUAGACACACUUGUCAAACUCAAGAAAGUUAAAUGUAUAAUUGACUCGGUCUCUUCACUGAGUUAAAUAUAAAGUUAAUUGCAAAGAUGCCAACAAAGCUUUCCAUCGAAAACUAGAAGUGAAGGCCAGGUGCUUUCUUGCCUUUGUUAUUUACAGACAGGAAUGGGAUCAUAAGGAUAAUGCCAACUCAGUGGUUUAACUUGGGUGUUUUGUAAGAGUUUCUAAAUACCCUCUUUUUCCGAGUCAUAGCUGAUACACAAAAAAAGAGGUUGUUAAAUUACACCUCUAUCAAUGCAUAUUUUGAAUGGAAUGGGGGUAAUACUCUAUGUUACCCCCAUGUCAAUCCUAAAUUAUUUGAUAAAUAAAAACCAGGGUUUUGAUGAAUUGUCUUGUGGAGCAGUGGGUUAAGGAUCUGAGGGACCCAGUCUUGUCACUGCGGUAGCCAGUAGCCCGAGUCGCCGCUCUAGUGCAGGUUCGAUCCGUGGCCCAGAAACUUCCCCGUGCUUCAGGCAUGGCCAGAUUAAUUAAUCAAUUAAUUAAACUAAAUUAAAGAAAAACAAGCCUUUUGAAAGGAAAGCUUCUAGUCAGAGGGAGCUUCAAAAAGAGCUGAGUUCUCUUUAUUUUGUCAAGCGUGUGAUUGGAACUCAAUAUGUACUCUUGUAAAGAAUUUCUUAAAUCUCCCUUUAUUCAAUAAUAUUGUCAACAUAAUUUAUCACAUGAACUUUCACUACUGAACGUUUCACAAGAUGUUUCUGUAGAACAUUAGGUUCAGAAAUUCUGGCAUUAGGAAACAAGCUGUUAAAAUUUUGGUCAAGGGCAUCCAGUGGCAUUACAUUUCCUUCUCGGUUUUACUUGAUCCUUGUAAAAUUCUCCUUGCCCAACCUAAGCUUAUAAGAACUUGCUGAGUUCUCUUUUUCGAAGAACAUCAUGCCCAAAGCAAUUUUGUUUGUUUGUUUGUUUGUUUGUUUGUUUGUUUUGGUAAGGAGUGAAGUUCAGUAAAAAUGGUAAGAUAGGAGUUGAAUCUGCAUCUCCUUUUCUGAUAGCUUUGCUUUUGCUUAGGGACAGAGCAUUAUGUUAAAUACUGUUUAGAACUGGAGUCCUUAGCCUUUGUAGAUUCUAGAAAUGCAUUUCUUACGUCCUGGCUUAAGGAAAUGGAGAAUUUGAGUGCUUCUUCCACUCAGAUGAGCUCCACAACUAUUUUCUAAGAAUCUGACUUUAGGAGUUCCCAUCGUGGCUCAGCGGAAAAUGAAUCUGACUGGCAACCAUGAGGCCACAUGUUUGAUCCCUGGCCUCGCUCACUGGGUUAAGGAGCCAGCGUUGCUGUGAGUUGUGGUGUAGGUCACAGGUGCGACUGGGAUCUGGCAUUGCUGUUGCUGUGGCUGUGGUGUAGGCCGGCGGCUACAGCUCCGAUUUAACCCCUAGCAUGGGAACCUCCAUAUGCCUCAGUGCAGCCCUAAAAAGACAAAAAAAAUUUUUUUAAUUAAAAAAAAGAAUCUGACGUUGCAUGACUAGUCACAGAACUCAUACAAAGACUUCGAUGAAUCAUUUCAGAUUAAAAGAUCAAUGUUUGAAGUCUGACUUAGUUAAUACAUCUAAAAAGAAAUGUACCACCUGUCUAUUAGUCAAAACGUCCAUUGUGAAAUACUAAUACCAAGUGAGGUUCUGCUAUUAUUUUUGCAUUUCGCCACAUAUGAAACAUGUUUUCCUUUUGUUUAUGAUUGUGAAGGGUAGCAAGGCAUGCCACCCCAAGAUCUGCCACUUUGGUAUAUUAAUAUUUUGCAUUGGAGCACUUUAAAAACAGCAAUUGCAGGAGAGGCUUUCUCUGAACACCCCUUAUCUGCCUAAAGAUAGAUUCUCCAGAAACUCAGUUGUCAUAAAUCCCCUCCCUGGGAGAUUCAUCAACCAGGGAAGAUGGACCCAUCACAGGAGAGGAGACCAGAAGUUGGCACCACAUUCAGACAGGCUUCAUCUCAAACUAUCAUCCCUCCCAUCAGUUCUUCUAAGGGCCCAUUCAUUCAUCAGUCCUAAAAGCCAGUUACUUGGCCAUAAGACACCUACAUCCCCCCUACCCUUUCCUAUUAUAAUGGUAUUUAAUCCUAAAUUUUAAACCACCUGGGAGAGUUCCUCAUCUUUUCCUGAUGAGGUUCCCAGGUAUGCAUAAGGUAUACAUGUUAAUAAAUAUCUAGAUUGUUUUUCUCUUAAUUCGUAAGGCUUGUUUGUCCUUCUCAGUGUUUAUUACAAAGGCCGCAGCGAAAAACUCACAAGUGUAGAAGGGGAUUUAGUUUUCCUCCACUGCAAUUGUCAGUGUAAUAAAAACUGCCUUCUUUCUGUAACUGAGGUUAAAAUAAAGAAGCCGCUUUGUUGAUUAUUAUGGAUGUCUUUUAAAUUAAGUACAUACUAUUUAGCCUGGUAUACAAGUGUUCAGUAAAUUCUCUUUUCACGGUAAUGAUUCUGUAGCUGAAGUAUAUUGCCAGGGAAUACAUACUAAUUGACUGCAAGUAGCACUUCUUUCUGUCACCACUUCUUUUGGAAAAACAUGGAAAUGUUGGCCCCGGAGCCUCUCAGAUCUGUAGGCUCUUCAGAAGAAGCCAAUCACCUUUUCCACCCAGCUCUGCAUUAUUCAAAUGUCCCAAGAGAACAGUCUUUGGCACCAUUUCUAAGACUCCAUUCUAAUAAGACAUCAACUUAACAUUCAUCUUAUUAUAAGUGAUACCCGAUGAGUCACUCACUUAAGACUCGGGCCUUGGAGUUCCCAUUGUGGCUCAGCGGGUUACGAACCCAGCUAGUAUCCAUGAGGACGCGGGUUGAUCCCUGGCCUUGCCCAGUGGGUUAAGGAUCCAGCGUUGCCAGGAGCAGUGGUGUAGUUUGCAAACGAAGUUCGGAUCCAGUGUUGCUAUGGCUGUGGCCUAGGCCGGCAGCUGUAGCUCUGAUUUGACCCCUAGGCUGGGAACUUCCAUAUGCCCCAGAUGCAGCCCUAAAAAACAAAAAAAAAAAAAA
rnacentral:lncRNA from 1 species